UUUUGUUUCCCCAUUUUCAACUCGCAUUAGGGUUUCUGCAUAUUCUCUCUCUCUUUCUUCUCUGCCGCUCCUCAAGAUCUUCAAACAAUCUUCGAAUCUCAAUUGUCUGAUAUGAUAAGGUGUUCUUAUGUGUAGUUUGUAGACACGACAUAUGAUUUGUGAUGGUUGAUCUUGAUUUUUUUCCGGUUAUGAUUUGUGAAUCGUUUGAUAUUAUCAUCCGGACUGUUUCCUGUCAUCAUUCUCAUUGGAUUCCUAAUUCGUAUCCCUACAACAUCGUCAAUACAUCAGGGUUUUUUCGUCUUCCAGCACAAAUCUUGAAAGGUGACCUAAUGGCUUCAUCAACAAGGAUGGCCUGAGAAGACAACGGUAAAAUGGUUCAUCUGGAUUUACAAAGCAUAAAUGGUUCAGAUCUAAAAAACGGGAUGGGCUGAGAAGACGAUGGACAGUUGACAUGUGGUCAUUGGAUUGUAUCAUAGCUGAACUGUUGUCUAAUACAAACUAUAUAUCUUGAAAAACAAAAUGGGUUCAAACCAGCAAGACACACACAACACUGCCGGUUUGGUUUGUCGUUUUCUGAAAGUAUAGUUAGUGAUUUGACCCGAUCAUUGCAACUAUGUGGAAAACAUGAACUAUUAAGCUGGAAUCUGAGAGUUCAAAUAGUUUGGAUGUUGUAAGGGGAUUUGAAUAUCUCCAUAAUGGGGUCGGAAUACUACGAAGGAGGUGAAUGAUGACGUCAUAAGAGGAGCUGGUGUCCGGACAAUCCGCGUGUUGAGGCACGUUCGUUGCGCACUGGGGAAUUCGGCCGGUAUUGAUUCAAUUCGUAAUGGUACUAUGUUUCUAACUAUAGUGACCUGGAACAACCUGAAGUCCCUAUUUCUGUUACACUCCCAUGUAAUAAUCAAUUUUGCAAAACAAACAGUGAAAAUUUGAAGUAAGAGAUUCGUAACUAUUGUUAAAUGCAUUAUUUUUAAACAUUGUUCUUCUUCGUAUCACUAUAUUUAAUUUAUAAAUUGUGUUUAAUGUUUAAUGUAAUUGUUUUAAAACAUUUUCUGGAUGAGGUGGCUACGCUCGCUCAAAGAUCAGGAUGAGGAACUUGAAUGGCAUUGUGAGUCUGAUGGACGUAAGGAAGGAGAAAUCUGAUACAACUUUCAGAACAAUGAGGUGCUUGUGAUUGGACCUAAACCAAGGGAUUAUACACAUCCAAAGAUCUUUCAGUCGCCAACAGUUGCAGCUACAGCAACUUCUGUAUUCACCUUCAAAUUGCGCAUAUAAGCAUCGCCUUUUAAACUUACUAUAUAUUUAUGUUAGGGAAAAAUGAUCAUGUGCAUCACCGGUAUAUGUAAUGCAGUUAUGAGAGGGAAAAAAUGAUCAUGUGCAUCACUGGUAUUGAUUACGAUGAUAAAACCAAGAAUAUAUCUACACAUGAACAUUCAUGAAAUAAAGAAACUUGACAAGAUGCUUAGUGGUCCAUGGAUGUGAAUCUCUUUGAGAAUUUUGGAGAUUAUAUGUGUUAAGCAUCUUCAUGAAAAGCUUGAGGACCUAUGAGUUGGUUGUUUUCAAUGCAACCAUGGCCUUUGUUCAUGCCCGAUACCUAUAUGUUACUUGGAUGGCUUCCCUAAUGGGUAACUUGAGCCACAUCUCAACUAUAUCUUAAUAUAAUAUACCUACACAUGUGCUUUAAGUUGAAAGCUAAUCACCUAAAAUAUAUGUGUGCAAACUGACAUCUUGCAUUUGCAAUUAUGUAUAUUAUCAUUCCGAUUAUGGAAGUUGCAAUUUGUAAGUACUUGAUUUCAGUAAUAAGCUAACUCAUAGUCACCAGCUUGUGGCAAAGGAAGACAUGACCUUAAUAGUUAUUCAGGUGGUUUGUGAUUUUGAUGAAGUGGAUAAUUUUCUUAAGGAUAAAAAGCAUUAAAGGUUCAUUUACUUUGUCUCCUGAACUUUUCGGUGAAAAUCAACUUGCAAGAGUAAGUUCACUUUUUUAUUUCUUGGUUUUUAGUUAUAUAGUUGAUUACUAUAUUAUGGGGUUGGGAACAAAAAACUAUAUUUCACACGAAGUUUUAACACUAUUUUUACUGAUAAUUAACAUUGAAUAUCUUACUGUCAAAUUGUAUGUGCCUCGGUACUUCAACGAGUAUGAAGCUAUCAACGGUUAUGGUCCUGCCCACCCUUCUUCAUGGAUUGGCGGUCUCUUCUAUAAUGUAAUGCCAUAACGGGUCAAGCGAACCAUAAAGUUUGGUAACAAAGGAAUGUGUAAAAUGAAUCGAACUAGUCAAUCGGGUUGAAAGCCAAUCACCAAAGUCUAAUUUUUAUUGAAUUGUUAUUUUUCAUAGUUAUGUUUAAAACAUCGUUAGUUGAAAGUGUUUGGUAGUAGUUACUUAAUACCUGCAGAAACAAAAUGUUGGGUUUUUUUGUUUAAAACUGUAUGUUUAUUCUUUUAUAUAUAAAAAAAAUACUUAUGGCA